rnacentral:rRNA from 1 species
UACGUAGGUGGCAAGCGUUGUCCGGAUUUACUGGGCGUAAAGGAUGCGUAGGCGGAUACUUAAGUCAGAUGUGAAAUUCCCGGGCUCAACUUGGGAGCUGCAUUUGAAACUGGGUAUCUAGAGUGCGGGAGAGGAGAGUGGAAUUCCUAGUGUAGCGGUGAAAUGCGUAGAGAUUAGGAAGAACACCAGUGGCGAAGGCGACUCUCUGGACCGUAAAUGACGCUGAGGCAUGAAAGCGUGGGGAGCAAACAGG